GCCAUAGGAUCUUUGGGAAUGGCUUCGGAAUGGCCGAACUCGAAACAGAAAAGAAAUGAGGAAGUCGACGUGAAAUGCCCCAUAGAUGUAACUAUUUUCAAACAGAUGUGCAGAGUUAUUUCCUGCGAUGAUGACUUUUUUCCAAGUGCGAGUGUACGUCAUACACGAGGGGGCGUUGUGCCAAUAUAAAUGGGCCACGCGCAACGGUACAAAAACCUCUGACGCAAGAUUCUAUAAAUGGAAAUGGUCAACAAAAGUUUUACUUGAAAACCGAACACGACUAUAAUUUAUUGUUUCGUCAAGGAAACGUCAGUUCGCGUGGCGCGGUCGGAUCAAAUGGAUGGAGCAUCACGUGAAUAAGUUUGUGCGGUAUCCACGCUGGAAAAAAAUGGAUUCUACAUAUAUCACGUCACGUGACACAGUGGAAAAAAAGUGCGUGCAGACGUGAACCGAAGGGAGCUAGAACGAGAAAAUUGUGCGUGUGGUACACGACGAUGCAUUAUCCAUGUACAACGCACGACUGCAGAACUUGCUACUAUUAAUUCAGCAUAACCGACGACCGAGAUUCUUAAUGAUUCCUUCGCAAUUAUGCCACUGAAUGUUCUGAAAAUCUAGAAUCCCUCGAUAUUAUACGAUGCAGACAGUUACCGCAAAUCUGUUAUUAAAAUGUAACGACCAACUGAAUCUCCGACGUGACGCCGUCGCAGCUAAAAUCACGAACGUCCGACGUCUCGACGUGUUGCCAUAAAUGUUACUAAUUCACAACCAAGCUGCAAAGAUGCAUUUUGACUGGCGAGGAAGCUGUCUAGGAACAGCGGCAUCGGCUGGCUCCCGUUAACCCGAAGUUCUGAAUGGUCUUAAUAUUCAUCAGUUCAGACGAAAUAUGGUUUGCAGCUACGGAGAUGCACGGAUUGUGAGGUGGGAUGAAG